rnacentral:rRNA from 1 species
GACGAACGCUUGCGGCGUGCCUAAGAAAUGCAAGUCGAGCGGGGAGAGCAAUCUCCUAGCGGCGAACGGUCGCGUAACACGUAAGCAACCUGCCCGAAAGACCGGGACAACACUCCGAAAGGGGUGCUAAUACCGGAUGUGACCGCUUUUACUCAUGUGAGAGCGUUUAAAACCUCGCAAGGGGGCUUUUGGAGGGGCUUGCGGCCUAUCAGGUAGUUGGUGGGGUAACGGCCUACCAAGCCAUCGACGGGUAGCGGUCUGAGAGGAUGGUCAGCCGGACUGGGACUGCGAUACGGCCCAGACUCCUACGGGGGGCGAGCAAUUAGGAAUCUUGUGCAAUGGGCGAAAGCCUGACACAGCGACGCCGCGUGGGGGA